GACGAACCGUGCGAACGUUGUUCGGAUUCACUGGGCUUAAAGGGCGCGUAGGCGGGCCAGUAAGUCCGGGGUGAAAUCCCACGGCUCAACCGUGGAAUAGCCUUGGAUACUGCUGGUCUCGAGGGAGGUAGGGGCAUGCGGAACUUCCGGUGGAGCGGUGAAAUGCGUAGAUAUCGAGAGGAACACCAGUGGCGAAGGCGAGUCUCUGGACAUUUCCUGACGCUGAGGCACGAAAGCCAGGGGAGCAAACGGG
rnacentral:rRNA from 1 species